rnacentral:lncRNA from 1 species
UUAAAUCUCUCCCAUAUUGACAAAAAAAUUUAGCAUCUUUUCUUUCAACCGUAAAAAGUCAUUUAUAAAUAUGUCCAUGUUGUGUGCUUUCAUUCGUGAAGGCAUAUAUAUAUUGCCAGCCCAUAAUUUCUCUUGGAAUUGUCCUUUCCAUCAAUUGAGCCAAACACCAUUGAUGAAAACAACAAUUAAAGAGUAAGUAAAUAAAAAUGAAAGUACACUAUUUAUUCAUUAAGGUAAAGCCCUAACUUACACGACUCUCAUGAAUUGUCAGACCCCUCCAUCAAAUGAACAUAAUGAGGUGGAAGAAAAAGAAAUGAGAUAAAACAAUAUAACAAUGCAAAACUUACUUGCUUUUUUAAAAUUACAAUUGAAGAAAAA